rnacentral:tRNA from 1 species
GGUCUGAUAGCUCAGUUGGUAGAGCAGAGCCCUGAAAAGGCUUGUGUCGGUGGUUCAAAUCCUCAGACCACCA